CUCAGACGUGAAACAGGUCUUCGCCGAUCCUAGUGUGGGGCCUCCCCAUGCGAACCUAGGGCACCGCCAGGG
rnacentral:rRNA from 1 species